AUGAAAUAUUUCCAAACUCUGAAAAAAAUGAAUGGAGAUAUUCUAACUAUCGCUGGACGCGAUACAGUGAUUGUUGGUACUGGACGUGCCAUAUUCACCCUCCCAAGUGGUACACAACUGACAAUUGAGGAUGCUUUAUUGUAUCUCGAUUCCUCAUGUACCCUGAUCAGUUAUCGAGAUAUCCAUAAAAAUGGUUUUCACAUUGAAAUCCAUGAAGACAACAAAGAGGAGUAUCUACUCUUUACUAAAGAUCACGGAUAUGGAAAAAAGGUACAUCAGAAAAUUCCUUCUCUAUCGUCUGGUUUGUACUAUACGUACAUCAAAACCGUGGAACAU
rnacentral:rRNA from 1 species